UAUCUUACAAACAUAGUGAGCAGAAGAUUAGUCUCAAGACUGAUGUAUCACAAAUUCACAAGUAAUCAACAAUGCAUGGAGACAAAAAUUGCUUUGAAAAGGAAAAACAAUUAAGCACUUUGGAACAGUUAUUUUUUUGUCCAUCCAUGGAUGUUUUUACAUCAUGAAACUUUGCAAGUUUGUACAACAUUAAACAAUGUUUAUCACAAAAAAUAAUCAUGUUUUUUUCUAUUAUCUUCAAAAUUUACUGUUCAUCCUAUGUGCAUAUACCCGGGAGCAAAAUAACAUUUUCGUGAGAAGCUCUCCUUUGCUGAAGUGGCUAGAGGCACGACAUUAGGUUUUCACAUGAAGACAUACUCUAGUGGAGAGGUGUCGAGCUCCUCGACAUGGCCUCUGUAAAGGAAACGGCAC
rnacentral:lncRNA from 1 species